AUCCAUUUGACGGGUGCCAAAUGGGACGAAACGCGAGUCCUGGAU
rnacentral:hammerhead_ribozyme from 1 species